rnacentral:rRNA from 1 species
GAGCACGUAGGUGGGUUUGUAAGUCAGAUGUGAAAGCCUUCUGUUCAACGGAAGAAUUGCAUCUGAAACUGCUAAUCUUGAGUAUAGGAGGGGAGAAUGGAACUUCUGGUGGAGCGGUGAAAUGCGUAGAUAUCAGAAGGAACGCCGGCGGCGAAAGCGAUUCUCUGGCCUAUUACUGACACUCAGUGUGCGAAAGCUAGGGGAGCAAACGGGAUAGAACCCCGUAGCAGCA